AAGUAUUUAUGCAUUAUUUUUUAUGAACUACAGUCCUAAAUUAAUAUAUAUUCUGGUGUGUGUCUGUGUGUAUUGGGUACUUUUCAGUCUUAUAUAAUUGGACAAACAGUUGUGUAAAUUUUUAGUCUGAAGUUUAUGAAAAUUAUGAAUUAUGAAACAAUUGUUUAAUUGAACAAUUAUGAAAAUAAUUGUUAGUUGCAGCCCUAAUUGUCACAAAGCUUUUAUUAAAAUCUGGGUCUAGAAUUCACAUUCUGUUGCUGUUUUUUUUUUUUUUUUUUUUUUUUUUUAAUAUUAGGUCCAUUCUAAGACAUAGUUUUCUCAAGUGGAAUUUUAUAGAAAGCUAUUUUAAUGUACACUCAGGGCCAAAAAAAUUUGGACAUUGACAAAGUUAUUAUUUUAUCUGUCCACCCAACCUGGUCACAGCCAUAAAUCACACAUACUUUACUAAAAGACCAUUCCCAGAAUAUGUAUUGUAACUUGUAUUUUUUCUGACAUAUACACAUUUUGUUGGUGGUCAUACAUAUAGGGAAAAUGCCAGGCUCAACACAGUGAAUUGGCCCCUUAUUGCAAAAAUAAAAAUGCAUUAGCAAACCCACAACACAACCUCCUAUCAAGUGUAAAAAUCUACACAAUUCUACAGGUGGUUUAUUAUGGGCAUAUUCAUACAUCAGGUUGCUAUUAUGUGCUAUUAUUAUUGACAAUGUGUGCUAUUUUACAAACAAAGGCCUGACUAGCAGACUAAGAUGGCUCAUGAUGAUUCUGUGCAUUCCAAUCAAGUUCUUCUACACCAAACUCUGGACCUUGGACAAAUGGACCUUGCUUUUAUACAGGAAGGCAUUGCCAUGCUAAACAGGAACGGGCCCAUGGAUACCUGUGUAGCAUUGCUCACUAGCCACUCUAUCAGGUAAGCCUUUACCUGACCAUAAACAUAAAUAGCCAAGGGGUCAUACAUUUGCAAAAUAAUUUUUGCCUGGAAUUACCUUUGGUAUCACCUGGUUUUCUCCAUUAAUUAUGUUGGCUUAACAAAACCAAUAUACUGUUUUGCUUUAUAAGAUGAUUAUUAUUACGAUGAUGAUGAUGUUGGCUUGACAAAGCCAACAUACUGUUCUGCUUUAUAAGCGUAUUAUUAGUGGUGCUUGCAAAGCAAAUCUUCAUAAUUGUUAUUGCUGUGGCCAAAAUUCCCAUUGACUUGCAUAAAAAAAUUCUGACCGUUAUAACUUCAGGCCGAUCACACUGGUCAGGCUCUCUUUUUCCAAAUUGAUUCCAACUCCGUUAUUCCCGUUGCUGAUGACGAAAAUGUCCAAAAACUUCCAUUCUCUUACAUUGAGGGAAUGUUCGGAACCUGGGUCUCGAGGGUUUUGUGGAUCUCAGCUCGGAUGCUGGCGUUUGUGUGCCUCAUGGUGCCAAGUUGUCAAAAUUCACACACCUGAGUGCACAUGGCCUGAAGCCUAAAAGUAUUGGAAUGCUGAGUAGCUCCUAAAGUAUUGGAACACUGUCUGGCUCUAAAAGUAUUAGAACUCUGUCUAGCUCCAAAAGUAUUGGAACACCGUCUAGCUCAAAAAGUAUUGGAACACCGUCUAGCUCCAAAAGUAUUGGAACACCGUCUAGCUCCAAAAGUAUUGGAACACUGUGUAGCUCUAAAAGUAUUGGAAUGCCAUCUAGCUCCAAAAGUAUUGGAACACUGUCUAGCUCUGAAAGUAUUUGAAUGCUGUCUAGCUCUAAAAAUAUUGGAACGCUGUCUAGCUGCAAAAGUAUUGGAACUCUGGCUGGCUCCAAAAGUAUUGGAACGCUGUCUAGCUCAAAGUAUUUGGACGGCUGUCUCCAAAAGUAUUGGAACGCUGUCUAGCUCAAAGUAUUUGGACGGCUGUCUAGCUCUAAAAGUAUUGGAACACUGUGUAGCUCUAAGAACAUUGGAACGCUGUCUAGCUCUAAAAAUAUUGGAACUGUGUAUAGCUCUAAGAAUGUUGGAACUCUGUCUAGCUCCAAAAGAAUUUGAACUCUGUCUAGCUCUAAAAACAGUGGAACUCUGUCUAGCUCCAAAAGUAUUCGAACUCUGUCUAGCUCCAAAACUACUGGAAGGCUGUCUAGCUCUAAAAAUAUUGGAACUCUGUCUAGCUUCAAAAGUAUUGGAACUCUGUCUAGCUCCAAAAGUAUUGGAAGUCUGCCUAGCUCUAAAAAUAUUGGAACGCUGUCUAGCUCUGAAAGUAUUGGAACGCUGUCUAGCUCUACAAGUAUUGGAACGCUAUUCAAGUAUUCAAACUGUCUAGUUCUAAAAAUAUUGGAAUGCUCUCUAGCUCUAAGAAUAUUGGAACGCUGUCUAGCUCUAAAAAUAUUGGAAUGAUGUCUAGCUGAAAAGUAUUGGAACUCUGUCUAGCUCUACAAGUGUUGAAAUGCUGUCUAGCUCUAAAAAUAUUGGAACUCUGUCUAGCUGCAAAAGUAUUGGAACUCUGUCUAGCACAAACUAUUGGAAUGCUGUCCAGCUCCAAAACUGCUGGAACUCUGCCUAGUUCUAAAAGUACUGGAAUGCUGUCUAGCUCUAAAAGUAUUGGAACGCUGUCUAGAUCGAAAAAGUAUUGGAACGCUGUCUAUCUAUAAAAAUAUUGGAACGCUGUCUAGCUCUAAAAGUAUUGGAAUGCUGUCUAGCUCGAAAAGUAUUGGAAUGCAGUCAAGCUCUAAAAAGUAUUGGAAUGCUGUCUAGCUCUAAAAGUAUUGGAACGCUGUCUAACUCUAAAAAAUAUUGGAACACUGUCUAGCUCCAAAAGUAUUGGCACGCUGUCUAUCUAUAAAAAUAUUGGAAUGCUGUCUAGCUCUAAAAGUAUUGGAAUGCUGUCUAGCUCCAAAAGUACUGGAACACUGUCUAGAUCUAAAAAUAUUGGAAUUCUAGCUCUAAAAAUAUUGGAACUCUAUCUACAGAAGGACUGGAACUCUGUUUAGCUGCAAAAGUAUUGGAACUCUGUCUAGCUUUGAAAGUAUUGGAACACUGUCUAGCUCAACAUAUUGGAAUGCUGUCUAGCUCUAAAAGUAUUGGAACGUUGUCUAGCUCUAAAAGUACUGGAAUACUGUCUAGCUCUAAAAAGUAUUGUAACUCUUUCUAGCUCUAAAAAGUAUUGGAAUGCUGUCUAACUAAAAAAUAUUGGAACGCUGUCUAGCUAUAAAAAUAUUGGAACUCUGUCUAGCUCUAAAAAUAUUGGAACUCCGUCUACCUCUGAAAGUAUUGGAACGUUGUUUAGCUCCAAAAGUAAUGGAACGCUGUCUAGCUCCAAAAAUAUUGGAAUGCUGUCUGGCUCCAAAAGUAUUGGAACGCUUUCCGGCUCUGAAAGUAUUGAAAUGCUGCAUACCACCCUACCCUAACAAACAGCUAACCACUACCCAUAACAUCGUAGCAACAACCUAGCAACAAUUAUAACACCCCAGCAACCACCCAUAAUACCCUAGCAACCACCCAUAACAACCUAACAACCACCCAUAGCACCCAAGCAAGACAAGUAACCACCCACAACACCCUAGCAACAGUCAAGCAACCACCCAUAAAACCCUAGCAACACCCUUGCAACCACCCACAACACCCUAGCAACCACCCAGAACACUAUAGCAAUCACCAAGCAACCGCCUAGCAACCACUCAGAAAACCCUAGCAACCACACAGAGCACCCAAGCAAACCCCUAGCAGCACCCUAGUAACCUCCCAGAACACCCUAGCAACCACCAAGCAACUGCCUAGCAACCACCCAGAACACCCUAGCAACUGCCUAGCAAUGCCCUAGCAACCACUCAGAACACAUUAGCGGCCACCUAGCAGCACACUAGCAACCACCCAGAAUACUCUAGCUACACCCUAGAAACAACCCAGAACACCCUCUAAACUAUGUAGUAACACUCUAGCAAGCACCCAGCAUUCUCAAAGUAUUGGAAAGCAGUCUAGCUCCAAAAAUAUUGGAACACUCUAGCUCAAACUAUUGGAAUGCUGUCUAGCUCAAAAAAAAAGGAACGCUGUCUAGGUCCAAAAGUACUGGAACUCUGUCUAGCUCCAAAUGUAUUUGAACUCUGUCUAGCUCCAAAACUACUGGAAGGCUGUCUAGCUCUGAAAAUAUUGGAACACUGUCUAGCUCUAAAAAUAUUGGAACACUGUCUAGCUCUAAAAAAUAUUGGAAUACUGUCUAGCUCUAAAAGUAUUGGAACGCUGUCUAGCUCUAAAUGUAUUGGAACACUAUCUAGCUUUAAAAAAUAUUGGAAUACUGUCUAGCUCUAAAAAUAUUGGAACGCUGUCUAGCUCUAAAAGUAUUGGAAUGCUGUCUAAUUCUAAAAAAGUAUUGUAACUCUGUCUAGCUCUAAAAAAGUAUUGGAAUGCUGUCUAGCACUAAAAGUAUUGGAACGCUGUCUAACUCUAAAAAUAUUGGAACACUGUCCAAAAGUAUUGGAACACGGUCUGGCUCUAAAAGUAUUGGAACACUGUCUAGCGCUAAAAGUAUUGGAACACUUGCUAGCUCUACGAGUAUUGGAACACUGUCUAGCAAAAACUAUUGGAAUACUGUCCAGCUCCAAAACUGCUGGAACUCUGCCUAGCUCUAAAAGUACUGGAAUGCUGUCUAGCUCUAAAAGUACUGGAAUGCUGUCUAGCUCUAAAAGUAUUGGAAUGCUGUCUAGCUCUAAAAGUAUUGGAACGCUGUCUAGCUCUAAAAGUAUUGAACACUGUCUAGCUCUAAAAGUAUUGGAACGCUGUCUAGCUCAAAGUAUUGGAAUGCUGUCUAGCUAUAAAAAUAUUGGAAUGCUGUCUAGCUCGAAAAGUAUUGGAAUGCUGUCUAGCUCCAAAAGUACUGGAACACUGUCUAGAUCUAAAAAUAUUGGAACUCUAGCUCUAAAAAUAUUGGAACUCUAUCUACAGAAGUAUUGGAACUCUGUUUAGCUGCAAAAGUAUUGGAACUCCGUCUAGCUUUGAAAGUAUUGGAACACUGUCUAGCUCAACGUAUUGGAAUGCUGUCUAGCUCUAAAAGUAUUGGAACGUUGUCUAGCUCUAAAAGUACUGGAAUACUGUCUAGCUCUAAAAAGUAUUGUAACUCUUUCUAGCUCUAAAAAGUAUUGGAACGCUGUCUAGCUAUAAAAAUAUUGGAACUCUGUCUAGCUCUAAAAAUAUUGGAACUCCGUCUACCACUGAAAGUAUUGGAACGUUGUUUAGCUCCAAAAGUACUGGAACGCUGUCUAGCUCCAAAAAUAUUGGAAUGCUGUCUGGCUCCAAAAGUAUUGGAACGCUUUCCGGCUGUGAAAGUAUUGAAAUGCUGCCUACCACCCUACCCUAACAAACAGCUAACAACUACCCAUAACACCGUAGCAACAACCUAGCAACAAUUAUAACACCCCAGCAACCACCCAUAAUACCCUAGCAACCACCCAUAACAGCCUAGCAACCACACAUAGCACCCAAGCAACAGACAAGUAACCACCCACAACACCCUAGCAACAGUCAAGCAACCACCCAUAAAACCCUAGCAACACCCUGGCAACCACCCACAACACCCUAGCAACCACCCAGAACACUAUAGCAAUCACCAAGCAACCACCUAGCAACCACUCAGAAAACCCUAGCAACCACACAGAGCACCCAAGCAAACCCCUAGCAGCACCCUAGUAACCUCCCAGAACACCCUAGCAACCACCAAGCAACUGCCUAGCAACCACCCAGAACACCCUAGCAACUGCCUAGCAAUGCCCUAGCAACCACUCAGAACACAUUAGCGGCCACCUAGCAGCACACUAGCAACCACCCAGAAUACUCUAGCUACACCCUAGAAACAACCCAGAACACCCUCUAAACUAUGUAGUAACAGUCUAGCAAGCACCCAGCAUUCUCAAAGUAUUGGAAAGCAGUCUAGCUCCAAAAAUAUUGGAACACUCUCUAGCUCAAAGUAUUGGAAUGCUGUCUAGCUCAAAAAAAAGGAAUGCUGUCUAGGUCCAAAAGUACUGGAACUCUGUCUAGCUCCAAAUGUAUUUGAACUCUGUCUAGCUCCAAAACUACUGGAAGGCUGUCUAGCUCUGAAAAUAUUGGAAGGCUGUCUAGCUCUGAAAAUAUUGGAAGGCUGUCUAGCUCUAAAAGUAUUGGAAUGCUGUCUAGCUCUAAAAAUAUUGGAACUCUGUCUAGCUCCAAAAGUAUUGGAACGCUGUCUAGCUCAAAGUAUUGGACCACUGUCUAGCUCUAAAAAAUAUUGGAAUACUGUCUGGCUCUAAAAGUAUUGGAACACUGUCCAUCUCAAAGUAUUGGAACACUGUCUAGCUAUAAAAAUAUUGGAAUGCUGUCUAGCAUGAAAAGUAUUGGAACGCUCUCUAGCUCUAAAAGUAUUAGAACGCUGACAAGCUCUAAAAAUAUUGGAAUGCUGUCUUGCUCUGAAAGUAUUGGAACGCUGUUUACCUCAAAGUAUAGGACCGCUGUCUAGCUAUAAAAGUAUUGGAACACUGUCUACUUUGAAAAGUAUUGGAACACUGUCUAGCUUUAAAAAAUAUUGGAAUACUGUCUAGCUCUAAAUGUAUUGGAACACUGUCUAGCUUUAAAAAAUAUUGGAAUACUGUCUAGCUCUAAAAAUAUUGGAACGCUGUCUAAUUCUAAAAAAGUAUUGUAACUCUGUCUAGCUCUAAAGAAGUAUUGGAAUGCUGUCUAGCACUAAAAGUAUUGGAACGCUGUCUAACUCUAAAAAAUAUUGGAACACUGUCCAAAAGUAUUGGAACAUGGUCUGGCUCUAAAAGUAUUGGAACACCGUCUAGCGCUAAAAGUAUUGGAACACUGUCUAACUCUAAAAAAUAUUGGAACACUGUCCAAAAGUAUUGGAACAUGGUCUGGCUCUACGAUUAUUGGAACACUGUCUAGCUGCAAAAGUAUUGGAACUCUGUCUAGCUCCAAAAGUAUUGGAACGCUGUCUAGCUCAAAGAAUUGGAACAUGGUCUGGCUCUAAAAGUAUUGGAACACUGUCUAGCGCUAAAAGUAUUGGAACACUUGCUAGCUCUACGAGUAUUGGAACACUGUCUAGCUGCAAAAGUAUUGGAACUCUGUCUAGCUCCAAAAGUAUUGGAACGCUGUCUAGCUCAAAGAAUUGGAACACUGUCUAGCUCCAAAAGUACUGGAACUCUGUCUAGCUCUAAAAGUAUUGGAACGCUGUCUGGCUCUAAAAAUUAUUGGAAUGCUGUCUAGCUUUAAAAAUAUUGGAACUCUGUCUAGCUGCAAAAUAUUGGAACUCAGUCUGGCUCCAAAUGUAUUGGAACUCUAGCUCCAAAAGCACUGGAAUGCUGUCUAGCUCAAAGCAUCGGAAUGCUGUCUAGCACUAAAAUAUCUGAAUGCUUUCUAGUUCCAAAAGUAUUGGAAUGCUGUCUAGCUCUAAGGAUAUCGGAAUGCUGUCAAGCUCAAGGUAUUGGAACACUAUCUAGCUCAAAGUAUUGCAACUCUGUCUAGCUCUAAAAAUAUUGGAACACUGUCUGACUCCAAAAGCAUUGGAACAAUACCUAUCACCCUACCCUAGCAACCACCUAGCAACAGCCUAGCAAUCACCAUAACACCCCAGCAAACACCCAUAACAGACUAGCAAUCACCAUAACAUCCUAGCAACCACCCAUAACUGCCUAACAACUACAAUAACACCAUAGCAACCUCCCAUAACACCCUAGCAACAGUCUAACCAUCUAUUAAACCCUAGCAACACCAUAGCAACCACCCAUAACACCCUAGCAACACCCUAGCAACCGCCAAGCAACAACCUAGUAACCACUCAGAACACCCUAGCAACAGCUUAGCAACACCCUAGCAACCACCCAUAACAUCCUAGCAACUGCCUAACAACCACUCAGAACACCCUAGCAAACACCUAGCGAACACCCUAGCAACUGCCUAGCAAUACCCUAGCAACCACUCAGAACACCUUAGCAACCACCUAGCAACACCCUUACAAUCACCUAGAACACACUAGCAACCACCUAGCAACACAUUAGCAACCACCCAGAACACCCUAGCAACUACUUAGCAACACCCUAACAACCACCCAGAAUGCUCUAGCAAAACCCUUGCAACCACCCAGAACACCCUAUAAACCGCUUAGAAGCACUCUAACAACCACCCAGCAUUCUCAAAGUAUUGGAAUGCUGUCUAGCCCUAAAAAUAUUGGAAUGCUGUCUAGCUCCAAAAAUACCGGAGUUCUGUCUAGCUCUAAAAAUACUGGAAUGAUGUCUAGCUCCAAAAGUAUUUUAACACUACCUGCCACCCAACCCUAGCCACCCCCUAGCAACACCCUAGCAACAGCCUAGCAACCACCCAUAAUACACUUGCAACCAUCCAUAACACCCUAGCAACAGCCAAGCAACCACCCAUAACACCCUUGCAACAGUCUAGAAACCACCCAUAAAACCCUAGAAACACCUUAGCAACCACCCAUAACACCCUAGAAACCACCUAGCAACACCCUAGUAACCAUCCAGAACACCUUAGCAACAGCUUAGCAACACCCGAGCAACCACCCAGAACACCCUAGCAACCGCCUAGCAAUACCCUAGCAACCACUUAGAACACCUAGCGACCACCCAGAACACCCUAGCAACCACCCAGAACACCCUAACAACUGCUUAGCAACACCCUAGCAACCACCCAGAAUAACUUAGCAACCACCUACUAACACUGUAGCAACCACCCAGAACACCCUAGCAACUGCCUAGCAAUCAAUGUCAGAUUUAUUUAUAUAGCACCAUUAAACACAACCAGGUUUGACCAAUGUGCUGCACAAUAAAAAACAGGACACUUAAACAAUACAAUAUCAAUACUAAUAUACAGUCCAAUAAAACUUCCUCAUUGAUUAUAUGCCAAAUCAAAAAGAUAGGUUUUUAUUUUAGGUUUAAAAACAGAUAGUGAUGGUGCAGCUCUAAUACAGAAGGGCAGGGCAUUCAACAAUCUGGGGGCAACUACUGAAAAGGCACUGUCACCCCUACAUUUCAGCUUCAACUUCGGGAUGCACAACAAUCUCUGGUUGGAUGACCGGAGAGACAAAUCUGGAUGAUGUUCAGUCAGAAAAUACGAAAUGUAAAGAGAAGCUAAACCAUUUAAAGAUUUAAACACUAAGAGAAGAAUUUGGACAUUUACUCAAUAAUGCACAGGCAACCAAUGCAAAGAAUGUAAAACCGCUGUAAUGUGAUCUAGCUUUUUAGUACUGGUUAGGUCUUGCAGCCGCAAUUUGAACUAUCUGCAAGCAGGAUAGAGUUGACUGGCUAAUCCCAAAAUACAGUGACAUAUCACAGCAAACCAGUGACUACAUUUCCCAUCCUGCACUGAAGCCUACAAUGUCCGUCGUGGACUGCAAUUCCCAGAACACUCACAUUCAUUUUAAUCACGCACACCUGCAUCCAAUUCACAGCACUCACAACCACAGUAUAAAGAGACUGGUUCUACAUAAUAACUUUGCUCAGUUGCUUAGUCUCUGUUGUAUUUCCAAGCAUUAUCUCGUGUUUGCAUUUCUGAUCCUGGACUUUGUUUACCCUUUUACCCUGACUUCGAUUUUCUAUUCUCUGUUUACCUGGUCAUUUGACCCUAGCCUGCCUUGGACUUAGUUUUCUGCAUGAUCCUUUGUACUUCGUAUUGUCUGAUUAAACUGCCAUACCUGCACUUGCUUCCAUCUCAGCCUCAAUUACGUGACACACAGAGAUUUUUUUUGGUGUACUAAAAUAAUCUGACGGGGCAAACACUAUUAUUUCAGUUAAUUCAUUCAUAAUUCACUAUUAUUUCAGUUAUUCCAUUUUACUCUAAUUAAAAUUAAGAAAAAUUUAAUUGUAAAGACAACCAAGCAUUCACAUCAGACAAAUGGGUCCUUCCAAACCAUCAGAACUCUUUUUUUAAGGGCAGAUAGAUUUGAGUAUUAUCAUCAUCUGCAUAGCAAUGGAAUGACAGUCCAUGCUUCCUAAAGAUAGAAACCAAUGGGAGCAUAUAUAAUGAAAAACAAAAUGGGAGCUAAGAGAAAUCCCUGGGGCACACCACACAAUAGAGGAGUUUCCUCAGAUAAAUAUUCAACAAUGUUAAUAUUAAAACUUCUUUAAACCAUUUAAGAGAACUUCCUUUUAUGCCAGCACAGUGCUCCAAGCAAGCAAGAAGGACAGCAUAGUCCCCAGCCUCGCCAGUUAGUACAAUAUCAUUUAAAACCUUCAAAAGUGUGGUCUCUGUCAAGGAGUGUUUUCUAAAACCUGAUUGAAAAAAAAACCUCAAAGACCUUAUUUUCAUCUACAAAACUCAGCAGUUGUUGUAAAACCAUUUUCUCUAAGAUUUUUGUAAUAAAAGACCGAUUAGAAAUAGGUCUAAAAUUAGCUAGAACAGUAGGGUCUAAUUUCGGUCUUUUAAGCAAGGGAUAAACUGUGGCAUGUUUUAACACAUCAGUAUUACAACUAGUAAACACAACAUUACUAGUUUCAAAACAUUAAUUUAUCACAGUCAAAAACUAGGGACCCACUGCAUCAAAAACUUGUUUCAGGAUAUAUGGAGGAAUAGCAUCAAUGGAGAAGCCUGAUGGCUUUAACUGACCCACUAUUUCUUGAAGAUGUAUAAAAGAAAUAGGUUCAAACUGGCUGAACUCAGCAGUACAAACGGAGGGAAUGGAAGGCUCAAAAGCAGGGGGAGAUAUCCCCAAUCUGAUAUCAUUGAUCUCAUUAACAAAAACUCUAAGAAAAUCCUCACACACAGUUUUUGACAUAGCUGGGUACUCACAGACAGUUGGAUUAGCAACAGUGUUAAAAAUAGUAAAAAGAAUUUUGGGUUUAUGGAAAUUAUUGUUAAUGAUUUCCAGAAAAUAUCUGGAUUUCGCUACUCUCACUGCAUUCUGGAAUUUGGAUAAUGAAUCACUAAGUAUCUCAAAGGAAAUCGAGAGCCUGUCCUUUUUCUUCUACAGAUCUUCCUCAAAGAGUGUAUGUUGUCAAUCCAGGGCUCAGAUCUAGGUUUAAGUUUUCAAGUCUUUACAAGAGCCAUUGAGUCUAAGACAUUCCCACAUAUGGAACUGAGUCGAAAUAGAAGCUCCUCUGCAGUCAGAUGACAUUGGUUGACAUCCACUGAUUGAAUAACAUCACAAAAAGUGAUUGAAAACCUUUGCUAGUGGUUGAGGUAAUUAAUCGAGAUUGACAGACAUAUUUAGUGGUUUUAGUAGUAUUAGAUACCCAAGGAACAGAAAGCAUGACAGAUUUAUGGUCAGAAGACCCAUUAUCAAAUACUUCAAGAUCAUAAGGAGAAAUGCCAUAUGAUAGCACAUGGUCAAGUGUAUGUCCAAGCUGAUGAGUAUGAGUAUUUACAUGAUGUUCUAGAUCAAAUGCAUUAAUCAGAGUAAUAAAUUAUUUGGCUAAUGAGUCCACUGUGCAGCACACAUGAACAGUAAAAUCUCCAAGAAUUAACAGUUUAUCAUAUUUCGGUGUAAAUUCCCCCAAUAAGUCUGAAAACUCAUUUAAAAAGUCAGUGUUAUGCUUAAGGGGGCAGUAUGUCAGAGCAAUCAAAAGUGAGCCAUUCAGAUCCAAUGUAAACAGCUGCAGCUCAAACCUCCAAUAGAAAUAUUAUCUUUGAAAAUAGAGGUGGGGGUGAAAGUUCAGAGAAUGGACUUAAGUCUCCAGUAGUAAGCCAAGUUUCAGUAAUGAAUAAAAAAUCCAACUCCUGAAAAAGAGAAAAAGUCAUUAAUAAUAAAAGUCUUAUUUACCACUGAUCUUUCAUUAAGCAACACCAUCCUUAGCCGAGGCAGAUCCUCAAUCGACUACUCAAACUGCCGUAGCAGAGAAAUUGUACGAAGAUGGCUUGAACACAUUCCUCCACAACAGACACGGGGCAAGCCGUAUACAGGGAGCGGAGCAGCAGCAGCUGGAAUCAUUCAAAUAUUCCAUUCACAUACUGGAUCCAGAAAUCACAAUCCACAAAUACACAAGUUAAAUCAUGCUAGCAAUGAGCUAAUGCAUGCUAGCAGUGUGUUAAAACAUGCUAAUUCAUGCUAGGAACAUGUUAAAUCAUAGUAGCAAUGUGCUAAAUCAUGCUAACAACAGACUAAUUAAUGCUAGCAAAGUGCUAAAUCAUGCUAGCAACAUGCUACUUAAUGCUAGCAACAUGCUAAAUCAUGCUAGCAACAGGGUAUAUCAUGCUAGUCCAAAGUACUGUCCACGUCCAAAGUAUUGUCCUGCAAUAGUUUCAUUUCACUUGAGCAAAAAACCUAUGACUAGUUCACAAAAGUAGGUUUUUAACAUUAUCUGAAAUAUUUACUGAACGGUUUGUUAGACACCAAUGUUACUUGAGGCAAAUAUGUUUAGAAUGAGACGGCCUAUAAUUUGAUAUAUAUUAGUUAUGUUUGUUCAUGUUUGUUUGUUCGGUUAUAUACAACCAUGAACACAGACAAAAAUAGUGAUAGCGCCACCUAGUGGCCGAUCUCUCUAAAACUUUGCACAAACCAAAUCGGAUAUAUGUUUUGUUCGUCUGGUCCCAAGGAUUCCACAGAUAUAAGACUCUUGAAUAUGUGACAAACGAUUCAAAAGUUAUGGCCAUUUUUUAAAUAUGCUCACUAUAGUGCCACCGUCUGGCCGAUCAGGCCGAAACUAUGUGAUGCUGUAGUACUCUGGGGAAGUAACCUUCCUUCAAAGUUUCAGCUCUCUAGGCUUUACGGUUUGGUCUGCACGGUCAGUUUUAGAGCAGAAUAAUAAUAAUUAAAUUUUUAAAAAUUUUUAAAGAAUUAUAAAAAUCCUUACAACUACAAUAGAGUUUCAGCCCUUCGGGCUUGAACCCCUAAAAAGCAUAAUAAAAAUCCUUACAAUUACAAUAAUGAUUUUUUCCUAAAAUGUAAACCAACAUUCAGAAACCAGGUGGGAAACAAUAAAUACAGCCUUCAUACUUCCACAAUCAUUAAGAGAUUAAGAGAAAUUAGCAGCCAGGUUUUACUAACAAAAAGAGGGUGGGGAAACACAUAGAUUUUGUAAAGAAGAAGUCUUGUGUGGAAUGAUGACAAAACUGUAGUUUGUAAACUCUGUAAUCUCUGCACUGCUAAAAAUUUUACACCAGAAGUAGCAGCAGUGAAUCAUUUCGGCAUCGAGUCUAAUCUCCCUCCACGAAAUUAAAGGGCCAGUAC
ensembl:lncRNA